UGCAACGGGCACGUUCAGUGGGCUGCGCGGCCGUUGCGAUGAGCUGCAUUGCUGAUUCUUCGCUUGCCCGAGACUGGCAAUUGUCGAGCGGGUUGCAUCCGUUGUUACGUUGCCUGAAGACAGUAGUAAAUGUGAUUUGCAGAUAGCACGAAUGCCAGCAAUCGUGCAACGUAGGAGUUCAAAGGGAGACAUGGUCAGUGUGGUUGGGUGCAAGCAACGUGUCAUUGUGGUUAGAAAAAAUGAAUUGUGAUUUAACUGUCAAAGCCGGAAUGUUUAAAGCAUACAUCCCGCCCAAGGCAUGCUGGGAUGAUCUCCUAUCAGGCAGCUUGGAAACUUCCAGACGCCGAUAUGCCUUAUGUUCGGUGCAGCCCAGGUUAUGAACUGUCAAGUGGAAUAUGCCCCUUAAGGAAAACGAGUAUAUUCAAGCUCCACGUGAAAUGCCAAGUAUGGUCACUGAAAAAUGAUCGACUGUCCAGCGAGGAGAUUGCGGAAUCAGCAGCUGACAUAUUGACUGAUGAAACAUGAUGGUGCGUGCAGCAAGAGAGGGUUUGACUGCAGAUCCUGACCACCUGCUCCUGUAAAUUUGUACCAACCACAGGCGAAAACAAGGAGAAACGCUUUGAAUACCUGCGGUCUUCUAUCAGCUAGACAAGUCCCUGAAGCUAUAAAUCAUUAAACUUUGAUGUAUUCUGCUUUGGAGGUAUAAA